CCAAGCGUUGUCCGGAUUGACUGGGCGUAAAGCGCACGCAGGCGGAUGCGCGCGUGGGGUGUGAAAUCUGGCCGCUUAACGGCCAGGCGCCAUCCCAUACGGCGCGUCUGGAGUGAUGCAGAGGUCGAUGGAAUUGCCGGUGUAGUGGUGAAAUGCGUAGAGAUCGGCAGGAACACCCAGGGGGAAACCAGUCGACUGGGCAUCUACUGACGCUGAGGUGCGAGAGCGUGGGGAGCGAACCGG
rnacentral:rRNA from 1 species